rnacentral:rRNA from 1 species
CCCUUAGAUGUCCUGGGCCGCACGCGCGCUACACUGAUGCAUGCAACGAGUUUAUAACCUUGGCCUGAAAGGUCUGGGUAAUCUUUUGAACGUGCAUCGUGAUAGGGAUAGAUUAUUGCAAUUGUUAAUCUUGAACGAGGAAUUCCUAGUAAACGCGAGUCAUCAGCUCGCAUUGAUUACGUCCCUGCCCUUUGUACACACCGCCCGUCGCACCUACCGAUUGAAUGGUUCGGUGAAGAUCUCGGACUUCGAUAUUUAUUCUUUAUUGAGUUUAUAGUGUGGGAAGUUAUCUAAACCUCAUCAUUUAGAGGAAGGUGAAGUCGUAACA